CGCUUCUCUUCAUCAGUCUGAGAAAAACAUUCUUCUGAGAUACGUGCGGCCCACUCAAUGCACUGCUCCAGGGGUCGGCAGGGAUUGGACACAUCAGCACACUUAAUCAGUCAGGUUCCAGAAAUGACGUCUGCUGAAGGAGAACAUGUUCUAGCAAUGAAAUCUUCAAAAGGCUCCUGCCGCUGCUCUGUGACUGGGACCCCCAGGUUGUCUUUGGAAGUUUCUAAGGCCUCCUGAGUAGAGACUGGGACAUGGAAGGAGUCGAGAGGCAAAGGAAUCCCAGCAUCACCUGUAAUUUUCUGAAACUGGAGGGAAAGACAAAAGACAAGACAAAAAUUCAGUGAUGAACAAAGCCAACCAUUAAAAAGCACAUGUAAACAGUAUAUAGUUUGUGACCAGACUGUGUUCUCAAGCUGUCAGUUCCCAAGACCAGUCUGAGAUUGGCUGAGGUGGGCGAAGGGGGCUCCAAGUAAGGC